rnacentral:rRNA from 1 species
UCUCAGUUCGGAUUGAGUCUGCAACCCGACUCCAUGAAGCUGGAUUCGCUAGUAAUCGCGCAUCAGCCACGGCGCGGUGAAUACGUUCCCGGGCCUUGUACACACCGCCCGUCAAGCCAUGGAAGCCGGGAGUGCCUGAAGUACGCGACCGCAAGGAGCGUCCUAAGGUAAAACCGGUGACUGGGGCUAAGUCGUAACAAGGUAGC